AAGGCGGAGGAAAUGCGCUGG
rnacentral:misc_RNA from 1 species